AUUUCAUUAGUGUCUGCACAUCCUUUGCCUUACCUUUGAAGUACUGUCUUGUGCUGAAACGAUUAGCAGUACUUUACGUCAUAUCACUUGACUAUUUGACAGCCAUUGUGAGUGAGCUAAAUGGGUGAUCAGUAAGUUAGGAUGUUUGCCUUAUAGCCAGAUACUAGAUGGGAACAAGAAAAAUAGCAGAAAAAGGUGUGUUGCUGCAUGUGAUAAUGCAAAGUUUCCUGGAACAGCAAGCAAAAGUGAGCAGCCAGUGAGGCAGGAAACUGUGAGGAGGAGGAAAAUUUAUCUAGUCCCUGGAAACUGAAGGAAUUCACCAUUCUCUUCAUUGUCAUCUGGAGUCUGGUGAGAGACCACCCUCAAGGCACCACUGCAAGAUUUUUAAGACUGAAGACAGAGAAAGAAAGAAAUGGCAAAUAAGUGUAUGGUCUAUGCAAGGUCGAUAAAAGUAGACAAAA